GAGCGAGGGUCCCCCGGGGCCCGAACCUCCCACCCUUUGUGAACCAUACCUCUGUUGCUUUGGCGGACCCGCGGGGUCACACCCGCCGCCGGCUCCGGCUGGCGAGCGCCCGCCAGAGUCCACCCAAACUCUUGUGAACAGUGACGUCUGAUUACUAUUUAAUAGUUAAAACUUUCAACAACGGAUCUCUUGGUUCU
rnacentral:misc_RNA from 1 species